CCCUUAGAUGUUCUGGGCCGCACGCGCGCUACACUGAUGCAUUCAACGAGCCUAUCCUUGACCGACAGGUCCGGGUAAUCUUUGAAUCUGCAUCGUGACGGGGAUAGAUUAUUGCAAUUAUUAAUCUUCAACGAGGAAUGCCUAGUAGGCGCAAGUCAUCAGCUUGCGUCGAUUACGUCCCUGCCCUUUGUACACACCGCCCGUCGCUCCUACAGAUUGGGUGUGCUGGUGAAAUGUUCGGAUCGGCCGUUUGUCGCGGUUUCCGCGUCAUGUGGCUGAGAAGUUCAUUAAACCCUCCCACCUAGAGGAAGGAGAAGUCGUAACA
rnacentral:rRNA from 1 species